rnacentral:misc_RNA from 1 species
GAUGAAGAACGUAGUGAAAUGCGAUAAGUAAUGUGAAUUGCAGAAUUUAGUGAAUCAUCGAAUCUUUGAACGCAUAUUGCGCCCGCCAGCACUCUGGCGGGCAUGCCUGUUCGAGCGUCAUUUCAACCCUCAGGCCUCGCGUCUGGCGUUGGGGCGCUGCGGCCCUCCCGCAGGCCCCCAAAUUUAGCGGCGGAUUCCCCGCGGCCCUGAGCGCAGUAGAGAGUAAAAACUUUAACGCUCCGGCGGCCGUGGCGCGGUUCUGCCUCUUUCCCAAUAGCGCCAAUAGCGCCACCCCCAAAAAAGUUGACCUCGGAUCAGGUAGGACUACCCGCUGAACUUAAGCAUAUCAAUAAGCGGGAGGA